AGUCACUGACAUUAGAUACCCCGGUAGUCCAGGGUGUAAACGCUGCAGACUUGGUGUUGGAGGCCCUUUGGGGGCAUUCAGUGCCGGAGAGAAGUUGUUAAGUCUGCUACUUGGGAGUACGUCCGCAAGGAUGAAACUUAAAGGAAUUGGCGGGGGAGCACCGCAACGGGAGGAGCGUGCGGUUUAAUUGGAUUCAACACCGUAAACUCACCAGGGAAGACUGUUACAUGAAGGCCGAGAUGAAGACUCUGCUAGAUUUUCAG
rnacentral:rRNA from 1 species